rnacentral:rRNA from 1 species
ACUCUUGAAGUCUUAGUGGCGCAGCUAACGCACUAAGUUGACCGCCUGGGGAGUACGGCCGCAAGGUUAAAACUCAAAUGAAUUGACGGGGGCCCGCACAAGCGGUGGAGCAUGUGGUUUAAUUCGACGCAACGCGAAGAACCUUACCUGGCCUUGACAUGCAGCGAGCCGUCCAGAGAUGGAUGGGUGCCUUCGGGAACGCUGACACAGGUGCUGCAUGGCCGUCGUCAGCUCGUGUCGUGAGGUGUUGGGUUAAGUCCCGUAACGAGCGCAACCCCUAUCCCUAGUUGCUAGCAGUUCGGCUGAGAACUCUAGGGAGACUGCCGGUGACAAACCGGAGGAAGGUGGGGAUGACGUCAGGUCAUCAUGGCCCUUACGGCCAGGGCUACACACGUGCUACAAUGGUGCGCACAGAGGGCUGCAAACCCGCGAGGGGGAGCCAAUCUCACAAAACGCAUCGUAGUCCGGAUCGCAGUCUGCAACUCGACUGCGUGAAGUCGGAAUCGCUAGUAAUCGUGAAUCAGAAUGUCACGGUGAAUACGUUCCCGGGCCUCGUACACACCGCCCGUCACACCAUGGGAGUGGAUUGCACCAGAAGUGGUUAGUCUAACCUUCGGGAGGACGAUCACCACGGUGUGGUUCAUGACUGGGGUG